ensembl:snRNA U6 U6 spliceosomal RNA
GUGUUCACUUCAGUAAUGCAUAUUUUAAAUUGGAAUGAUACAAUGGUCAGCAUGGCCCCUGAACAGGGAUGACACUCAAAUUAGCAAAGUAUUCUAUAUUUUU